ACAGAUCGUUCAGAGUUUGAUCCUGGCUCAGGAUGAACGCUAGCGGAAGGCCUAACACAUGCAAGUCGAGCGGGUAUUAUUCUUUCGGGGAUAAGAGAGCGGCGAACGGGUGAGUAACGUGUAAAGAACUUGCCCUCUAGACUGGGAUAACAGAUAGAAAUGUCUGAUAAUACCGGAUAUUAUUGUUACAUGGCAUCAUGUAGGAAUGAAAGGAUAAGAUUGCUAGAGGAGAGCUUUGCAUCCUAUUAGCUAGUUGGUAAGGUAGAGGCUUACCAAGGCGAUGAUAGGUAGCCGGCCUGAGAGGGUGGACGGCCACAAGGGGACUGAGAUACGGCCCUU
rnacentral:rRNA from 1 species